GUGACACUGGUUCUCAUAAGAUCACUGAAGUUAAGCAACAUAGAGCCUGGUCAGUACCUAGGUGGGUGACUGCUUCAGAAUAUGUGCUG